GACGAACGCUGGCGGCGUGCUUAACACAUGCAAGUCGAACGGAAAGGCCCUGCUUUUGUGGGGUGCUCGAGUGGCGAACGGGUGAGUAACACGUGAGUAACCUGCCCUUGACUUUGGGAUAACUUCAGGAAACUGGGGCUAAUACCGGAUAGGAGCUCCUGCUGCAUGGUGGGGGUUGGAAAGUUUCGGCGGUUGGGGAUGGACUCGCGGCUUAUCAGCUUGUUGGUGGGGUAGUGGCUUACCAAGGCUUUGACGGGUAGCCGGCCUGAGAGGGUGACCGGCCACAUUGGGACUGAGAUACGGCCCAGACUCCUACGGGAGGCAGCAGUGGGGAAUAUUGCACAAUGGGCGGAAGCCUGAUGCAGCAACGCCGCGUGCGGGAUGACGGCCUUCGGGUUGUAAACCGCUUUCGCCUGUGACGAAGCGUGAGUGACGGUAAUGGGUAAAGAAGCACCGGCUAACUACGUGCCAGCAGCCGCGGUGAUACGUAGGGUGCGAGCGUUGUCCGGAUUUAUUGGGCGUAAAGGGCUCGUAGGUGGUUGAUCGCGUCGGAAGUGUAAUCUUGGGGCUUAACCCUGAGCGUGCUUUCGAUACGGGUUGACUUGAGGAAGGUAGGGGAGAAUGGAAUUCCUGGUGGAGCGGUGGAAUGCGCAGAUAUCAGGAGGAACACCAGUGGCGAAGGCGGUUCUCUGGGCCUUUCCUGACGCUGAGGAGCGAAAGCGUGGGGAGCGAACAGGCUUAGAUACCCUGGUAGUCCACGCUGUAAACGGUGGGUACUAGGUGUGGGGUCCAUUCCACGGGUUCCGUGCCGUAGCUAACGCUUUAAGUACCCCGCCUGGGGAGUACGGCCGCAAGGCUAAAACUCAAAGGAAUCGACGGGGCCCCGCACAAGCGGCGGAGCAUGCGGAUUAAUUCGAUGCAACGCGUAGAACCUUACCUGGGUUUGACAUGGAUCGGGAGUGCUCAGAGAUGGGUGUGCCUCUUUUGGGGUCGGUUCACAGGUGGUGCAUGGCUGUCGUCAGCUCGUGUCGUGAGAUGUUGGGUUAAGUCCCGCAACGAGCGCAACCCUUGUUCACUGUUGCCAGCACGUUAUGGUGGGGACUCAGUGGAGACCGCCGGGUCAACUCGGAGGAAGGUGGGGAUGACGUCAAGUCAUCAUGCCCCUUAUGUCCAGGGCUUCACGCAUGCUACAAUGGCUGGUACAGAGAGUGGCGAGCCUGUGAGGGUGAGCGAAUCUCGGAAAGCCGGUCUCAGUUCGGAUUGGGGUCUGCAACUCGACCUCAUGAAGUCGGAGUCGCUAGUAAUCGCAGAUCAGCAACGCUGCGGUGAAUACGUUCCCGGG
rnacentral:rRNA from 1 species